rnacentral:rRNA from 1 species
CUCGUAGGUGGUUUGUCGCGUUGUUCGUGAAAACUCACGGCUUAACUGUGGGCGUGCGGGCGAUACGGGCAGACUGGAGUACUGCAGGGGAGACUGGAAUUCCUGGUGUAGCGGUGGAAUGCGCAGAUAUCAGGAGGAACACCGGUGGCGAAGGCGGGUCUCUGGGCAGUAACUGACGCUGAGGAGCGAAAGCGUGGGGAGCGAAUA